ACCUUCUCAGGAUCACAGCUGGAGGGUUUCCAGUACUCUACCAGUCUUGGCUCUAGGAGGGAGAGUCAAGCAGAGGCCUAGCCAUUCCAUUCCUGGCUUGGAUAGUGGCUAGCGAGUGAAAGGCAAUCAGCUACAAGU